GCGAGAAAACUUUGCAAUGAGCGAAAGCUCGACAAGGUUAAUCCGAGUGGUUUCUGCUAAAGGAACCUUUUGCUAGUCGUAAAACCACUAACGAAUAAGGGGUGGGCAAGUUCUGGUGU
rnacentral:rRNA from 1 species